GUUUUGUUUUGUUUUAAGAAGCAGUGGAAAUCGCAUAUUUAUGCCACAAGGAAGAGUCUUGUUUACAUGCAAGAAAGAAUUUAAGCUACUUGAGAAACCCAACAUUAAAAGUAAAUUGCAGAAUUAAAGAAAUCAUCUGUUUAAUUAAGGCCUCCAGAACAAUACCUUGUGUGAAAAGAACAAAUGCAUAAGGAAAGAAAAAGACAUUUUUUUGAAUUAAAGAUGUGAAAUCAAUAUAUACUUCACAGGAUGUGGGACAAAUAUCUCCCCCCCCCCAAAGAAAACAAUACCAAGAAAGAUCGCAUUUACUGAAAUGAAGUAUAAUAUUCUUGGUCAUAAUGUGAUAUCAAGAAAAAUCAACUUCGUGAACAAAGUGUACAGAAUUAGGGAAGAAAGGUAAAGAUGAUGGACCAUUAAAAAGAAACUCAAAGAUAUUCUGCUUUAAUAGCAUGUCUUGCAGGUUCUAGCCCACAAAUCUUUUUCUACUAUCCCUUUCCUGUUAGUCCACAGCAUUUUGGUAAAGCAGUGGAAAGCCUC
rnacentral:lncRNA from 1 species